rnacentral:rRNA from 1 species
UCCUCCUCCCCGGCGCCGCAGUGGGGGAUAUUGCACAAUGGGGGAAACCCUUCUUCCUCUCCUCCUCUUUUUCUCCUCCGUAUUUCGGUAUGUAAAGCCCUAUCAGCAGGUAAGAAGAAAUGACGGUACCUGAGUAAGAAGCACCGGCUAAAUACGUGCCAGCAGCCGCGGUAAUACGUAUGGUGCAAGCGUUAUCCGGAUUUACUGGGUGUAAAGGGAGCGCAGGCGGCACGGCAAGCCUGAUGUGAAAGCCCGCGGCCCAACCGCGGGACUGCAUUGGGAACUACCGGGCUGGAGUGCCGGAG